rnacentral:misc_RNA from 1 species
GGGGUCCUGGACUAUGGUGAAUUUGUCGCUGUAUCAAUUCAUCUUAGAAAGAUAGGAAAUGAUGAUCACCUUCACAAAGCUUUUGCAUACUUUGAUCAGAAUAAGAGUGGGUACAUAGAGAUUGAGGAGCUCAGGGAAACAUUAGCAGAUGAAGUGGCUGUAAAUCAAGAGGACGUUAUCAAUGCUAUUAUACGUGAUGUAGAUACAGAUAAGGAUGGGAAAAUAAGCUAUGAGGAGUUUGCUUCAAUGAUGAAAGCGGGCACAGAUUGGAGGAAAGCUUCGAGGCAGUACUCUCGAGAGCGGUUUAA